UCAAUUUUGUUUGGCUAUUUAAGGGAACUCAGGACAUAUUAUUGAUAUUGAUUUGGAGAGGACAAAUAAAACUUACCUUGGGAUGUCUAGCAUUGUUGGGAGAAGUAGAAUGUAUCCAUGAGAAGAGUUGGAUUUGUUAAAAAAAAAGCCCAGAAUUUAUUCAAGUGAAUAAGAGUACUUCUGAAAGAACCGCCAUUCCAGUCAUCUUCAAUUCUUUUUUACCUCAUUUGGAAUUUUCUUGGCAAAGAUACUGGAUUGGUUUGCUAUUUUCUUCAGCUUUUACAGAUGAGGAAUUGGCUCAAAUAGGAUUAAAUGACUUGCCUAAGAUCACACAGCUGAAAGAAAAAUUAAAUGACAAAAUGGGGUCAUGA
rnacentral:lncRNA from 1 species